CACGUAGGGGGCGAGCGUUGUCCGGAUUUAUUGGGCGUAAAGAGCUCGUAGGCGGCUCAGUAAGUCGGGUGUGAAAUUUCAGGGCUCAACCCUGAAACGCCACCCGAUACUGCUGUGGCUAGAGUCCGGUAGGGGAGCGUGGAAUUCCAGGUGUAGCGGUGAAAUGCGUAGAUAUCUGGAGGAACACCGGUGGCGAAGGCGGCAUUCUGGACCGAAACUGACGCUGAGGCGCGAAAGCCAGGGGAGCAAACGGG
rnacentral:rRNA from 1 species